UGAUCUGAGAGAGAGUGAAGCCCUCUGUUUAUCCACAGGACAGGUGCAGCACAGGCAGCAACUGUGCAAACUUCUUUGCCAAUGUUCCCAGAGCUCACAAGCUUAGACUGACCUGGAGGGACCAUCUCUGCUGGGGACAGAGUGUGACAGAUUUUUGUUACCAAUUUGCCUGGGCCACA
rnacentral:sRNA from 1 species